rnacentral:rRNA from 1 species
CAGCAGCCGCGGGAAUACGUAGGUGGCAAGCGUUGUCCGGAAUUAUUGGGCGUAAAGGGCUCGCAGGCGGUUUCUUAAGUCUGAUGUGAAAGCCCCCGGCUCAACCGGGGAGGGUCAUUGGAAACUGGGAAACUUGAGUGCAGAAGAGGAGAGUGGAAUUCCACGUGUAGCGGUGAAAUGCGUAGAGAUGUGGAGGAACACCAGUGGCGAAGGCGGCUCACUGGCCCGGAACUGACGCUGAGACGCGAAAGCGUGGGGAGCAAACAGGAUUAGAGACCCGUGUAGUCCCUGUCUCUUAUAC